rnacentral:lncRNA from 1 species
GGGCUAAGAUUAGAAGAAGAGAGGUAUUUAAAUCUCUCUUCAGACAAACCUUAACCCUAGCUGACACACUUCGCCGGAGAAGAAGAAGAAGGGCAGCUGGAGGAGAAGUCCAGCCACCGGAGGACGUCGGCGCCACCAUGCCGGAGACCCAAAACUCACUGGUGAACACGAUUUUUCCUCUUGUUCUUCCUAUCUUAUCACCCUAGAUCAUUUAAACUAACUCUAAUGCAGGAAAAGCCAAGGAAGACCGCGACCCACAAGAAAUAGGUGGCGGAGCACGGUUGCGCCGCCGCACUAGAGAUUGAAAAUCGCCUAGUAAA